rnacentral:rRNA from 1 species
GAUGAACGCUGGCGGCGUGCCUAAUACAUGCAAGUCGAGCGAACGGACGAGAAGCUUGCUUCUCUGAUGUUAGCGGCGGACGGGUGAGUAACACGUGGAUAACCUACCUAUAAGACUGGGAUAAUUUCGGGAAACCGGAGCUAAUACCGGAUAAUAUUUUGAACCGCAUGGUUCAAGAGUGAAAGACGGUCUUGCUGUCACUUAUAGAUGGAUCCGCGCUGCAUUAGCUAGUUGGUAAGGUAACGGCUUACCAAGGCAACGAUGCAUAGCCGACCUGAGAGGGUGAUCGGCCACACUGGAACUGAGACACGGUCCAGACUCCUACGGGAGGCAGCAGUAGGGAAUCUUCGACAAUGGGCGAAAGCCUGACGGAGCAACGCCGCGUGAGUGAUGAAGGUCUUCGGAUCGUAAAACUCUGUUAUUAGGGAAGAAAAUAUGUGUAAGUAACUGUGCACAUCUUGACGGUACCUAAUCAGAAAGCCACGGCUAACUACGUG